GGGAUCUUAGCUCAGCUGGGAGAGCAUCUGCCUUACAAGCAGAUGGUCAUAGGUUCGAGCCCUAUAGGUCCCA
rnacentral:tRNA from 1 species